UGACUGUCGGGACAAGCCCAGGGAUGGCAUUGUUUCUAUUUGCUGAUAAAUGACUCUGGGGCUGUGAAGACUCAGACCCAAGGAGUGACUCAGAAAGUCAGGGGCCCAUGUCAUUCUGCUCUGGGUUCAGACGUGCACUGCAGCAGCACCGGGACUUGACAGCCCUACGGCUCGAUCAGCUUUCUGUUUUCAUUGCCUUACGAUGCCAUGAGUGGAACUAUUGUCAAAUCAGAGUUCACUCCCCAGCUUUUCAGUCUUUCCCCUAAUUCUUGCUCUAUCAGAGGUCGAGGACAACAGUAUAAUGAUUCAUAGGUUCUACUUCCUGGCAAGUAAUCAUUUUCCCACGGGCCCUUGUGAAUUGAUGAAUAUGAAGACACUAAGAAAGCAGAAAUAGAACUGAGAAGAAUGAAAUAACUGUCUCUACCUUUCUCGAAUUGUCUAAUAUGGAAAGAAUGAAAGACAGCUAAUAAGCAACUCUCUGCAAGAAGACAUAUGGCUUAGGUUCUGCUGAGCUAUUGAGAUGGGAUCUUGCUAUGUGGCCCAGGCUGGCCUCAAACUCCUGGCCUCAAGAUAUUUCCCCCUGCCUUGGCCUCUCAAAGUGAAUCUACUUGGAGAGAGUCAAACACAGAAUCCCUUUGAAUUUAAUGGCCAUUCCAGGUGAUUUGAACAGCCAAAUAAGAAACAGGUCCUCUUCAAUGUACAAUCUGCCAAGUAUGAAGUCUGAAUGACCAUCAUUAUUAUGUAUUUAAUGUGCAUAGAAAAUCUAUCUGCAACCUUCCAGAGUGUACCAGAAGUUUGGAAUGUACAUUAUUAUUGGCUCCAUCUCAAACCACUCAUAAAUCAAAGAAAAUAGCAGUUCCAGAGGAAUCAUCAUAGAGGCUUCUAGGCCCCCAUGCUGUGUGAACCUGGUGAGAAAGGGAAGUCUGCUCUCACUGGACACUGGAACUGUUUGUCUCUGUCUCUGCUGUACUUUCCCUGCCUCUACCUCACUUAGUAAAGAAAUCAUCUUUGCUUGAUAACUAAAACAACCAAUAAGGCUGAGAAAGGGGAAAACCCACAUCUGGAUUUAAAUACAAGGUAUUGGGCCAGCUGCUGGGGAUUAAACUUUGAACAAAACAGAUAGAAUCUAUGUCCUCAUGGGAGUGGCUAAUGGGAGAGUCGGAACAAAAAAAUAGCCAAGGAUAAUCCAGCAAAUGAUUUGGUGAAUGCUAUCAAAGAGAGAAAUACACAUGCUCUGGGAACACCAAACAGAGUCUUGCUCUUGUUGCCCAGGCUGGAGUAUGAUGGUGCGAUCUCAGUUCACUGCAACCCCUGCCUCCCAGGUUCAAGUGAUUCUCCUACCUCAGCCUCCUGAGUAGCAGGGAUUAUAGGUACAAGCCACCACACCCGGCUAAUUUUUAUAUUUUUAGUAGAGACGGGGUUUCACCACAUUGGCCAGGCUGGUCUCGAACUCCUGACCUCAGGUAAUCUGCCCCUCGGCCUCCCAAAAUGCUGGGAUUAACAGGCAUGAGCCACAGCACCUGGCUGACUUUGCCUGUUUUAUAAUUUCACACAAUAAAAUCAUGCACUGUGCAUUUCUUUGUAUUGUCUCCUUUCACUCAGCAUAAUGUCUGUGUGAUUCAACCCUGUGGUGAUGUGUCAUUUUUUUAAAAAAAAUUAAGAUAUUUUAUUAUAUGAACAUACCAUAAUUUGUUUAUUCAUUUGGUGAACAUUGUGUUGAUGCCAGGUUUGGGCCAUUAUGAAUAAAGCUGCUUUGAAUGUUUAUGUACAAG
rnacentral:lncRNA from 1 species